rnacentral:tRNA from 1 species
GUCGCUGUGGCCGAGUGGUUAAGGCGAUUGACUAGAACGCGCUUUGCAUUCCAGUUAUCAAUUCCUUUCGGGGGCAUAGGUUCGAGUCCUAUCGGCGACG